rnacentral:rRNA from 1 species
CUACGGGGCGCUGCAGUGGGGAAUAUUGCACAAUGGAGGAAACUCUGAUGCAGCAACGCCGCGUGGAGGAUGACACUUUUCGGAGCGUAAACUCCUUUUAUAUAGGAAGAAGAUGACGGUACUAUAUGAAUAAGCGCCGGCUAACUCCGUGCCAGCAGCCGCGGUAAUACGGAGGGCGCAAGCGUUACUCGGAAUCACUGGGCGUAAAGAGCGUGUAGGCGGAUUAAAAAGUCAGAAGUGAAAUCCUAUAGCUUAACUAUAGAACUGCUUCUGAAACUCUUAAUCUAGAAUAUGGGAGAGGUGGAUGGAAUUUCUGGUGUAGGGGUAAAAUCCGUAGAGAUCAGAAGGAAUACCGAUUGCGAAGGCGAUCUACUAGAACAUUAUUGACGCUGAGACGUGAAAGCGUGGGGAGCAAACAGGAUUAGAUACCCGCGUAGUC